CCGGGCGGCCGUAGCGCGGUGGUCCCACCUGACCCCAUGCCGAACUCAGAAGUGAAACGCCGUAGCGCCGAUGGUAGUGUGGGGUUUCCCCAUGCGAGAGUAGGGAACUGCCAGGC
rnacentral:rRNA from 1 species